rnacentral:rRNA from 1 species
GAUGAACGCUGGCGGCGUGCUUAACACAUGCAAGUCGAACGAUGAACCGGGUGCUUGCACUCGGGGAUUAGUGGCGAACGGGUGAGUAACACGUGAGCAACCUGCCCCUGACUCUGGGAUAAGCGCUGGAAACGGCGUCUAAUACUGGAUAUGUCCCGUCACCGCAUGGUGUGCGGGUGGAAAGAUUUUUCGGUUGGGGAUGGGCUCGCGGCCUAUCAGCUUGUUGGUGAGGUAAUGGCUCACCAAGGCGUCGGCGGGUAGCCGGCCUGAGAGGGUAAGCGGCCACACGGGGACUGGGACACGGCCCAGACUCCUACGGGAGGCAGCAGUGGGGAAUAUGGCGCAAUGGGCGGAAGCCUGAUGCAGCAACGCCGCGUGAGGGAUGACGGCCUUCGGGUUGUAAACCUCUUUUAGCAGGGAAGAAGCGAGAGUGACGGUACCUGCAGAAAAAGCACCGGCUAACUACGUGCCAGCCGCCGCGGUAA